rnacentral:rRNA from 1 species
AGAGUUUGAUCCUGGCUCAGGAUGAACGCUGACAGAAUGCUUAACACAUGCAAGUCUACUUGAAGUAACUUCGGUUAUGGAUGGUGGCGGACGGGUGAGUAACGCGUAAAUAACUUGCCCCCUAGUCUGGGACAACUGUUGGAAACGACAGCUAAUACUAGAUAUUAUGAGACCUUGGCAUCAAGGACUUAUGAAAGCUAUAUGCGCUAGGGGAGAGAUUUGCGUCCUAUUAGCUAGUUGGUGAGGUAAUGGCUCACCAAGGCGACGAUAGGUAGCCGGCCUGAGAGGGUGAACGGCCACAAGGGGACUGAGACACGGCCCUUACUCCUACGGGAGGCAGCAGUGGGGAAUAUUGGACAAUGGACCAAAAGUCUGAUCCAGCAAUUCUGUGUGCUUGAUGAAGGCCUUCGGGUUGUAAAGAGCUUUAAGUAGGGAAGAAGAAAGUGACGGUACCUACAGAAUAAGCGACGGCUAAAUACGUGCCAGCAGCCGCGGUAAUACGUAUGUCGCAAGCGUUAUCCGGAAUUAUUGGGCAUAAAGGGCGUCUAGGCGGUUUAGAAAGUCUGAUGUGAAAAUGCGGGGCUCAACCCCGUAUUGCGUUGGAAACUACUAGACUAGAGUAUUGGAGAGGUAAGCGGAACUACA